rnacentral:rRNA from 1 species
GACGAACGCUGGCGGCGUGCUUAACACAUGCAAGUCGAACGGAAAGGCCCUGCUUUUGUGGGGUGCUCGAGUGGCGAACGGGUGAGUAACACGUGAGUAACCUGCCCUUGACUUUGGGAUAACUCCAGGAAACUGGGGCUAAUACCGGAUAGGAGCUCCUGCUGCAUGGUGGGGGUUGGAAAGUUUCGGCGGUUGGGGAUGGACUCGCGGCUUAUCAGCUUGUUGGUGGGGUAGUGGCUUACCAAGGCUUUGACGGGUAGCCGGCCUGAGAGGGUGACCGGCCACAUUGGGACUGAGAUACGGCCCAGACUCCUACGGGAGGCAGCAGUGGGGAAUAUUGCACAAUGGGCGGAAGCCUGAUGCAGCAACGCCGCGUGCGGGAUGACGGCCUUCGGGUUGUAAACCGCUUUCGCCUGUGACGAAGCGUGAGUGACGGUAAUGGGUAAAGAAGCACCGGCUAACUACGUGCCAGCAGCCGCGGUGAUACGUAGGGUGCGAGCGUUGUCCGGAUUUAUUGGGCGUAAAGGGCUCGUAGGUGGUUGAUCGCGUCGGAAGUGUAAUCUUGGGGCUUAACCCUGAGCGUGCUUUCGAUACGGGUUGACUUGAGGAAGGUAGGGGAGAAUGGAAUCCCUGGUGGAGCGGUGGAAUGCGCAGAUAUCAGGAGGAACACCAGUGGCGAAGGCGGUUCUCUGGGCCUUUCCUGACGCUGAGGAGCGAAAGCGUGGGGAGCGAACAGGCUUAGAUGCCCUGGUAGUCCACGCUGUAAACGGUGGGUACUAGGUGUGGGGUCCAUUCCACGGGUUCCGUGCCGUAGCUAACGCUUUAAGUACCCCGCCUGGGGAGUACGGCCGCAAGGCUAAAACUCAAAGGAAUUGACGGGGCCCCGCACAAGCGGCGGAGCAUGCGGAUUAAUUCGAUGCAACGCGUAGAACCUUACCUGGGUUUGACAUGGAUCGGGAGUGCUCAGAGAUGGGUGUGCCUCUUUUGGGGUCGGUUCACAGGUGGUGCAUGGCUGUCGUCAGCUCGUGUCGUGAGAUGUUGGGUUAAGUCCCGCAACGAGCGCAACCCUUGUUCACUGUUGCCAGCACGUUAUGGUGGGGACUCAGUGGAGACCGCCGGGGUCAACUCGGAGGAAGGUGGGGAUGACGUCAAGUCAUCAUGCCCCUUAUGUCCAGGGCUUCACGCAUGCUACAAUGGCUGGUACAGAGAGUGGCGAGCCUGUGAGGGUGAGCGAAUCUCGGAAAGCCGGUCUCAGUUCGGAUUGGGGUCUGCAACUCGACCUCAUGAAGUCGGAGUCGCUAGUAAUCGCAGAUCAGCAACGCUGCGGUGAAUACGUUCCCGGGGCU